AGCAUCUGCAGCACAGCGACAGCACCAGCCCGAGCACUGCGAGGCUCGCAGAGCCCGCAGGACAGAUGGGUUCUAGCUGUCAUGCAGCUCCCACCUCCAGUGCGAAUGAUCCUCAAAAUAAGAGGUACUUCUUCACCAAGGAAGAAAUACCCGAACAGACGCACAUCAUACUGAUACACAUCUACCCGACACACACACUCAUAUACACACAUGCACAUAUGCACACACUUCUACCCAACACACACACUCAUACACACUCACACACACACGUACAUACAGAUACACAUCUACCCAACACACUCAUAUACACACAUGCACAUAUGCACAAACUUCUACCCAACACACACACUCAUACACACACACGUACAUACAGAUACACACAUCUACCCCACAUACACUCAUAUACACACAUGCACAUAUGCACAAACCAAUACACAUCUACCCUACAUACACACUCAUAUGCACAUAUGCACAAACCAAUACACAUCUACCUGACUCAUACACACACACGUACAUACAGACACACACAUCUACCCAACACACACUCACUCAUACACACACAUGCACAUACGCACAAACCGAUACACAUCUACCCGACAUACACACUCAUACACACACACACAAAUACGCAAAUACACACAUCUACCCAACACACACACACACAAAUACCUACAAACUGAUACACAUCUACCUGACAUACACACACACGCACAUAUGCACAGAUACACACACCUAUCCAACACACAUACACACACACGUACAUACACAGAUACACAUCUACCAAACACACACACAUAUACACACACACGCACAGAUACACACAACGAAAUACCCGAACAGAUGCACAUCAUACGGAUAACACAUCUACCCGACAUACACACUCAUACACACACACACGCACAAACUGAUACACAUCUACCCGACAUACACACUCAUACACACACAUGCAAAUAAGCACAAACCAAUACACAUCUACCCGACAUACACUCAUACACACACAUGCAAAUAAGCACAAACCAAUACACAUCUACCCGACACACACUCAUACACACAUACAUAUGCACAAACAUAUCGACACAACACACACUCGUAUACACACACGCACGCACAUGCACAUACAGAUGCACACACAUUUACCCAACGUACACUCAUAUACACACACAUGCAUACACAGACAUCUAUCCAACACUCAUAUAGACACAUGCAUAUGCACAGAUACAUGUCUACCCAACAUACACACUCAUAUACACAGAUGCAGAUACACAUCUACCCUACACACUCAUAUACACACAGAUACACACACAUCUACCCAACACACAUUCAUAUACAUACGCACAGAUACACAUUUACCCAACAUACACUAUACACACACGCACAUACACAUCUACCCAACACACACUCAUAUACACACACAUGCGUAUGCAGAUACACACACAUCUACCCAACAUACACACUCAUACACACACACACCUACCCAACAUACACUCAUAUACACACACAUACAAACGUGUGGGUGUGUGUACAUCCAGGCAGACACGUCCUUCUCUUUGAAACACCAAUUCUAUCACUUGAAGAAAACACAACACUUGUACAAAGCAAAGCAUCAAAUGUCAGAUUCAUUAACGGGGUGACCUGAGAACGGGCCAGCCACUUGUGCCUUGCUGGGCCCGUGAUGUCUGAAUUCUGAGACUCGUUAAGUUCAGAUCGACAUGAGGGCGG
rnacentral:lncRNA from 1 species